ACUCCUACGGGAGGCAGCAGUGGGGAAUCUUAGACAAUGGGCGCAAGCCUGAUCUAGCCAUGCCGCGUGAGUGAUGAAGGCCUUAGGGUCGUAAAGCUCUUUCGCCUGUGAAGAUAAUGACGGUAGCAGGUAAAGAAACCCCGGCUAACUCCGUGCCAGCAGCCGCGGUAAUACGGAGGGGGUUAGCGUUGUUCGGAAUUACUGGGGCGUAAAGCGCACGUAGGCGGAUCGGAAAGUUGGGGGUGAAAUCCCGGGGCUCAACCCCGGAACUGCCUCCAAAACUAUCGGUCUAGAGUUCGAGAGAGGUGAGUGGAAUUCCGAGUGUAGAGGUGAAAUUCGUAGAUAUUCGGAGGAACACCAGUGGCGAAGGCGGCUCACUGGCUCGAUACUGACGCUGAGGUGCGAAAGUGUGGGGAGCAAACAGGAUUAGAUACCCUGGUAGCGACUGA
rnacentral:rRNA from 1 species